GCUGGACUGGGACUAAUUCGGGAAACCGGAGCUAAUACCGGAUAAUAUUUCGAACCGCAUGGUUCGAUAGUGAAAGAUGGUUUUGCUAUCACUUAUAGAUGGACCCGCGCCGUAUUAGCUAGUUGGUAAGGUAACGGCUUACCAAGGCGACGAUACGUAGCCGACCUGAGAGGGUGAUCGGCCACACUGGAACUGAGACACGGUCCAGACUCCUACGGGAGGCAGCAGUAGGGAAUCUUCCGCAAUGGGCGAAAGCCUGACGGAGCAACGCCGCGUGAGUGAUGAAGGUCUUCGGAUCGUAAAACUCUGUUAUUAGGGAAGAACAUACGUGUAAGUAACUAUGCACGUCUUGACGGUACCUAAUCAGAAAGCCACGGCUAACUACGUGCCAGCAGCCGCGGUAAUACGUAGGUGGCAAGCGUUAUCCGGAAUUAUUGGGCGUAAAGCGCGCGUAGGCGGUUUUUUAACUCUGAUGUGAAAGCCCACGGCUCAACCGUGGAGGGUCAUUGGAAACUGGAAAACUUGAGUGCAGAAGAGGAAAGUGGAAUUCCAUGUGUAGCGGUGAAAUGCGCACAGAUAUGGAGGAACACCAGUGGCGAAGGCGACUUUCUGGUCUGUAACUGACGCUGAUGUGCGAAAGCGUGGGGAUCAAACAGGAUUAGAUACCCUGGUAGUCCACGCCGUAAACGAUGAGUGCUAA
rnacentral:rRNA from 1 species